rnacentral:sRNA from 1 species
GGGCAGCAGUGGUUGUGCUUGGACGGCUGCACCCUGUGGGGAGCAGGGAUGGGUGGGCCUGGCCGAGGUGAGCCCCUGCAUGGUGAGGUCCCCCUAUGCUGGCGCUGAGCCCCAGCCCCAGGGUCCUGUAGGCUGGGCUCCGUGAGACCCUGGGCUCAGCUUCCAGCUCACAUCUGUCAGUGAGGUUGGGGGUAACCUCGGCCCCUCCGGAUGCUGUGAGCAGCCAGGGGUCCUGGUGCCACCUGCGGGAUGGGAGUGCCCAGCCUGAGUCUGCACAUAGAACCCCCCUUCCUGGGGGCCCCUCCCUGGGGCAUGGGUGGCCCCAGAUGCUGCCUGGAGACCACUGUGCAACCUGAAACCCCCACAUCCUUCCUAGCGACGCUUCCCUGACUUCUCCUACAUCACCCAGAACGGCCGCCUAACAGACUUCCUGGACUGCGUGAUCAUUAGCCACUUCCACCUGGACCACUGCGGGGCACUCCCCUACUUCAGCGAGAUGGUGGGCUACGACGGGCCCAUCUACAUGACUCACCCCACCCAGGCCAUCUGCCCCAUCUUGCUGGAGGACUACCGCAAGAUCGCCGUAGACAAGAAGGGCGAGGCCAACUUCUUCACCUCCCAGAUGAUCAAAGACUGCAUGAAGAAGGUGGUGGCUGUCCACCUCCACCAGACGGUCCAGGUAGAUGAUGAGCUGGAGAUCAAGGCCUACUAUGCAGGCCACGUGCUGGGGGCAGCCAU